rnacentral:rRNA from 2 species
UUCCACACCCCGGGCGGGCCUUUUUUUUUUGGGGGUUUUUUCCACUCAGGACGAACGCUGGCGGCGUGCCUAAUACAUGCAAGUCGAGCGGACAGAUGGGAGCUUGCUCCCUGAAGUCAGCGGCGGACGGGUGAGUAACACGUGGGCAACCUGCCUGUAAGACUGGGAUAACUCCGGGAAACCGGGGCUAAUACCGGAUAAUUCUUUCCCUCACAUGAGGGAAAGCUGAAAGAUGGUUUCGGCUAUCACUUACAGAUGGGCCCGCGGCGCAUUAGCUAGUUGGUGAGGUAACGGCUCACCAAGGCAACGAUGCGUAGCCGACCUGAGAGGGUGAUCGGCCACACUGGGACUGAGACACGGCCCAGACUCCUACGGGAGGCAGCAGUAGGGAAUCUUCCGCAAUGGACGAAAGUCUGACGGAGCAACGCCGCGUGAGUGAUGAAGGUUUUCGGAUCGUAAAACUCUGUUGUUAGGGAAGAACAAGUACCGGAGUAACUGCCGGUACCUUGACGGUACCUAACCAGAAAGCCACGGCUAACUACGUGCCAGCAGCCGCGGUAAUACGUAGGUGGCAAGCGUUGUCCGGAAUUAUUGGGCGUAAAGCGCGCGCAGGCGGUUCCUUAAGUCUGAUGUGAAAGCCCCCGGCUCAACCGGGGAGGGUCAUUGGAAACUGGGGAACUUGAGUGCAGAAGAGAAGAGUGGAAUUCCACGUGUAGCGGUGAAAUGCGUAGAGAUGUGGAGGAACACCAGUGGCGAAGGCGACUCUUUGGUCUGUAACUGACGCUGAUGCGCGAAAGAGCGCC